UACCUACUCCCUUCGUCCUAAAAUAUUUGUCCCAACUUUAUUUCUCAAAUAGAUGUAUCUAGCAUUAACUUGGUGCUAGAUACAUUCAUUUGAGAGACAAAUUUUUUCAGACGGAGGAAGUAGCUU
rfam:Triticum aestivum genome assembly, contig: Triticum_aestivum_CS42_TGACv1_scaffold_159313_2DL